CAACUUUCAACAACGGAUCUCUUGGUUCUGGCAUCGAUGAAGAACGCAGCGAAAUGCGAUACGUAGUGUGAAUUGCAGAAUUCAGUGAAUCAUCGAAUCUUUGAACGCACAUUGCGCCCUUUGGUAUUCCAAA
rnacentral:rRNA from 1 species